rnacentral:tRNA from 1 species
GCGGAGUUGUGGCUCAGUGGAAGAGCACUUGCCUGGCAUGUGUGAAGCCCUGGGUUUGAUCCUCAGCACCGCA